UACGUAGGGCGCAAGCGUUGUCCGGAAUUAUUGGGCGUAAAGAGCUCGUAGGCGGCUUGUCACGUCGAUUGUGAAGGCCCGAGGCUUAACCUCGGGUCUGCAGUCGAUACGGGCUAGCUAGAGUGUGGUAGGGGAGAUCGGAAUUCCUGGUGUAGCGGUGAAAUGCGCAGAUAUCAGGAGGAACACCGGUGGCGAAGGCAGAUCUCUGGGCCAUUACUGACGCUGAGGAGCGAAAGCGUGGGGAGCGAACAGG
rnacentral:rRNA from 1 species